UACGUAGGUCCCGAGCGUUGUCCGGAUUUAUUGGGCGUAAAGCGAGCGCAGGUGGUUUAUUAAGUCUGGUGUAAAAGGCAGUGGCUCAACCAUUGUAUGCAUUGGAAACUGGUAGACUUGAGUGCAGGAGAGGGGAGUGGAAUUCCUAGUGUAGCGGUGAAAUGCGUAGAUAUUAGGAGGAACACCAGUGGCGAAGGCGGCUUACUGGACGGCAACUGACGCUGAGGCUCGAAAGCGUGGGGAGCAAACAGG
rnacentral:rRNA from 1 species